AACGAACGCUGGCGGCAUGCCUAACACAUGCAAGUCGAACGAGACCUUCGGGUCUAUUGGCGCACGGGUGCGUAACGCGUGGGAACCUGCCCUUAGGUUCGGAAUAACUCCCCGAAAGGGGUGCUAAUACCGGAUAAUGUCUUCGGACCAAAGAUUUAUCGCCUUUGGAUGGGCCCGCGUUGGAUUAGCUAGUUGGUAGGGUAAAAGCCUACCAAGGCGACGAUCCAUAGCUGGUCUGAGAGGAUGAUCAGCCACACUGGGACUGAGACACGGCCCAGACUCCUACGGGAGGCAGCAGUGGGGAAUAUUGGAAAAUGGGCGAAAGCCUGAUCCAGCAAUGCCGCGUGAGUGAUGAAGGCCUUAGGGUUGUAAAGCUCUUUUAACCGGGAUGAUAAUGACAGUACCGGGAGAAUAAGCUCCGGCUAACUCCGUG
rnacentral:rRNA from 1 species